AGUGAACGCUGGCGGUAGGCCUAACACAUGUAAGUCGAACGGCAGCACAGGAGAGCUUGCUCUCUGGGUGGCGAGUGGCGGACGGGUGAGGAAUACAUCGGAAUCUACUCUGUCGUGGGGGAUAACGUAGGGAAACUUGCGCUAAUACCGCAUACGACCUACGGGUGAAAGCAGGGGAUCUUCGGACCUUGCGCGAUUGAAUGAGCCGAUGUCGGAUUAGCUAGUUGGCGGGGUAAAGGCCCACCAAGGCGACGAUCCGUAGCUGGUCUGAGAGGAUGAUCAGCCACACUGGAACUGAGACACGGUCCAGACUCCUACGGGAGGCAGCAGUGGGGAAUAUUGGACAAUGGGCGCAAGCCUGAUCCAGCCAUACCGCGUGGGUGAAGAAGGCCUUCGGGUUGUAAAGCCCUUUUGUUGGGAAAGAAAUCCAGCUGGCUAAUACCCGGUUGGGAUGACGGUACCCAAAGAAUAAGCACCGGCUAACUUCGUGCCAGCAGCCGCCGUAA
rnacentral:rRNA from 1 species